AACGCUAGCUACAGGCUUAACACAUGCAAGUCGAGGGGCAGCAUGGUCUUAGCUUGCUAAGGCCGAUGGCGACCGGCGCACGGGUGAGUAACGCGUAUCCAACCUGCCUUACACUCUUGGACAGCCUUCUGAAAGGGAGAUUAAUACAAGAUGUUAUCAUGAGUAAGCAUUUUCGCAUGAUUAAAGGUUUACCGGUGUAAGAUGGGGAUGCGUUCCAUUAGAUAGUAGGCGGGGUAACGGCCCACCUAGUCUUCGAUGGAUAGGGGUUCUGAGAGGAAGGUCCCCCACAUUGGAACUGAGACACGGUCCAAACUCCUACGGGAGGCAGCAGUGAGGAAUAUUGGUCAAUGGACGAGAGUCUGAACCAGCCAAGUAGCGUGAAGGAUGAAGGUUCUAUGGAUUGUAAACUUCUUUUAUACGGGAAUAAACGAAUCCACGUGUGGAUUUCUGCAUGUACCGUAUGAAUAAGGAUCGGCUAACUCCGUGCCAGCAGCCGCGGUAAUACGGAGGAUCCGAGCGUUAUCCGGAUUUAUUGGGUUUAAAGGGAGCGUAGAUGGGUUGUUAAGUCAGUUGUGAAAGUUUGCGGCUCAACCGUAAAAUUGCAAUCGAUACUGGCAGUCUUGAGUACAGUUGAGGUAGGCGGAAUUCGUGGUGUAGCGGUGAAAUGCUUAGAUAUCACGAAGAACUCCGAUUG
rnacentral:rRNA from 1 species